AUGACCUAGGCAGUUUUAAGGAGUACUGCUAGAAAUGUUUUUCUCAAUUGGAAUAUUUGUGAAAGUUUGUCAUGAGAUCGUUAGUGGAUGUUGUAUUUUGCCACAUGCUUUCUUCAAUGGAUAUAAUAAUAUGAUUUUUCUUCUUAAAUGUGUUGACAUGGUAGAUUACAUUGAUAUAGUGUAAAUACUAAAACAGGCUUGAAUAUCUGGAAUAAAUCCCACUUGGUCUUGUUAUAUAAUUCAUUUCACACUUUGUUGGAUGUGUUGAGAAUUUUUGCCUGUAUUUUCUGUGAGAUACCAAUUCAUAGUUUUCUUUCUUCUAAUAACUUUAUCUGGGUAAUGUUGGCCCAUAGAAUGAAUAAGGAUUGAUCCCUUUGCUUUUAUUUUUUGAGAAGAUUACAAAAAAUAAAUAUGUUUUCAUGUUAAAUGUUUUAAAGAAUUCAUCAGUGAAAUUUGAGAUUCAUGCUCUCUUUUUGGAAGAUAUUCGAUUAUUGAUAAUUUUCUGUAGAUAAAGAGCUACCGAUAGUAUCUAUUUCUCCUUAUGUGAAUUUUGGCUUAAUUUGCUCUUCUUUGUCAAGAUUUCUAAUGCUGAGCUGAGCUAGUUGAUUUGUAUUCCUUUCCUUCUAAUGCAUAUAUUUAUCAAAGACUUGGAACCAACCGAAACAUCCAUCAAUGAUAGACUGAAUAAAGAAAAUGUGGCACAUAUACACCACGGAAUACUUUGCAGCCAAAAAAAAGGACGAGUUUAUGUCCUUUGCAGGGACAUUAAUGAAGUUGGAAACCAUCAUUCUCAUCAAACUAACAGAAGAACAGAAAACUAAACACCGCAUGUUCUCAUUCAUAAGUGGAAGUUCAACCAUGAGAACACACGGACACAAGGAGGGGAAUAUCACACACCGGGGCCUAUCGGGGGGUGGCAGGCUUGGGGAGGGAGAGCAUUAGGGGAAAUACCUAAUAUAGAUGACGGGUUGAUGGGAGCAGCAAACCACCAUGGCACGUGUAUACCUAUGUAACAAACCUGUAUGUUCUGCACAUGUAUUCCAAAACUUUAAAUGUAAUAAAACAAUUUAAAAAUGUGUUCAAUUUA